AUUUUUUUUUUUUUUUUUUUCAAUUGAACAAGACCCAACUGGCUAAGAACAAGGAUUACAAGAGACUAACUACCGUUGCCACCACUUCACUGUGUGAAGAGGCUCCUCUGGUUCUAUUCUUGAUCCCAUAGGAGAAACCAUGGCCAGAGUCCUCAACAUUCCUCAGUCUUCUUUUCUCCGUUCAUUCCCAGUAACCGAGAAGCAUUAGAACACCAAUUUUCACUAUUACAGCCACCUCAGAGAUACCUUUCUCUUUUACUUCAACAAGCACCACCACCACCAAAGAAGACCAGAAGCUGGGGGCUUCCCUCACCUUGUUUUUCAGGUUGGGCACUGGUGUUUUCGUUUCUGGUACUUCAUAUUUAUGAAUUACAGUGUUAUCUCAUUCCUACACGCAAAUUGCUGCAAUGGUAUUCACAAGUGAGAGGUCAUCAAUUUUACAACAAUUAUUUCCAGGCACCAUAUGGGGUCCAGAUGUUUGAAAGUGCUGAGAUUGUGGAAUAUCUAAAGCAACUUAUGCUCAACAAGCAAGGCCAGCAUUAGCAACAAGCUUUCAAGGAUAUAUAAGCGCGCACACACACAUACAAUGGGGAUGUCUCCCUGAAAUUUAAAAGUUUAAAUGGGAUUAUGUUGAAUUUAAACUUGUUAAAUAUAUAUUUUGCUCCUUUCCCCUAUUUCUCCCUUUUGGAUUGUCCAAUCUUUUUGAUUUUAUAAUCAAUGGAAUAUCUCAUUUUGGUGCUUCC